rnacentral:rRNA from 1 species
AACGUAGGAGACAAACGUUAUCCGGAGUUACUGGGCGUAAAGGGCGUGUAGGUGGUGCUGUAAGUCUGGCGUGAAAUUUUUCGGCUUAACCGGGAAAGGUCGUCGGAUACUGCAGGACUAGAGGACGGUAGAGGCGUGUGGAAUUCCGGGUGUAGUGGUGAAAUGCGUAGAGAUCCGGAGGAACACCAGUGGCGAAGGCGGCAUCCUGGACCAAUAUUGACGCUGAGGAGCGAAAGCCAGGGGAGCAAACGGG